rnacentral:rRNA from 1 species
CUCGGCGGCCUUAGCGCGGUGGUCCCACCUGACCCCAUGCCGAACUCAGAAGUGAAACGCCGUAGCGCCGAUGGUAGUGUGGGGUCUCCCCAUGCGAGAGUAGGGAACUGCCAGGC